rnacentral:lncRNA from 1 species
GGCGGGAGCCGGGCCCAAAUUAUCCCAAAUUCACCCCAAAAUCAGCCCCAAAUUACCCCGAAAUUAUCCCAAAAUCAGCACGAAAUUAUCCCAAAGUCACCUCAAAAGUAUCCCAAAGUCACCCCAAAUUCACCCCAAAAUCACCCCAAAAUCAUCCCAAAAUUCAUCCCAAAAUCAGCCAGAAAUUAUCCCAAAUUCACCCCAAAAUCAGCCCCAAAUUACCCCAAAAUUGUCCCAAAAUCGCCCCAAAAUAAGCCCGAAAUUCAUCCAAAAUCAGCCCGAAAUUAUCCCAAAAUCAGCCCGAAAUUAUCCCAAAAUCACCCCAAAAUCAUCCCGAAAUUACCCCAAAAUUGUCCCAAAUUCACCCCAAAUUCACUUCAAAAUCACCCCAAAAUUAUCCCAAAAUCAGCCCAAAAUUAUCCCAAAGUCACCCCAAAAUCAGCCCAAAAUUCACCCCGAACAUCAUCCAAAAUCAGUCCAAAAGUCAUUCAAAAAUCAUCCCAAAAUUAUCCCAAAUUCACCUCAAAAUUCAUCCAAAAUUAUCCCAAAAUUAUCCCAAAGUCUCCCCGAAAUUAUCCCAAAGUCAUCCCAAAAUCACCCCGAAAUUAUCCCGAAAUUACCCCAAAAUUGUCCCAAAUUCACCCCAAAAUCAUCCCAAAAUUAUCCCAAAUUCACUCUAAAAUUCACUCAAAGUCAUCCCAACAUUAUCCCAAAUUCACCCCAAAAUUAUCCCCAAAUCGGCCCAAAUUCAUCCCAAAUUCACCCCGAAAUUCAUCCAAAAUCACCCCAAAAUUAUCUCAAAGUCACCCAAAAAUCAGCACAAAAUUCAUCCAAAUUCACCCCAAAAUCCAUCCAAAGCCACCCCAAAAUUGGCCCAAAAUCAUCCCCAAAAUCAGCCCAAAAUUCACCCAAAAUUCACUCCAAAAUUGGCCCAAAAUCAGCCCAAAAUUCACCCAAAAUUUCCUGGGAUUCCCCCUGAAAAUUCACCCAAAAUACCCCAAAAAUCCCCCAAAAUUCACAUUUCACAUUUACCCAAAAUUCACAUUUCAAAUUUACCCAAAAUUCACCCCAAAAUCCCCCAAAAUCCGGGUCCCAAAAUUCCUCAUUUUUUGGAGCCCCAAAAUCGUCAUUUUUGGAGGAAAUUCCCCAAAUUUCCCCUCCCUGGGGGAACCCAAAUUUGCCUUUUUCCCCUUUUUUCCCUUUUUUUCCCUUUUCCCAAUUUUUUGUAAUUUUUGCCCUUUUUUGCCUUUUUUUGAUUUUUUGGGGUUUUUUUUUCUGUCAUUUUUGUCCUUUUUUGUCAUUUUUUGA